GCCACCGGUUGACACCUAGCUCGAACUUGACACCUAAAACUCUACCAUUUGACGAUCCACCUCGCCAGCAUACUCCAUUUCUCUCCCUUAUUACGUUCCACGAAGAAACAAAACGCGUCCACCUCGGAAUCGCCGGGAACGGCCUUGUCUUUCUUGUCAGUCGGAAGUGUUUGAUCGUCUUCAUCCACUCUCUGAUCGAGCCGUUCAAGAACGUCGGAGCGUGGCCACGGCUGUCUCCGGUGUCCAAAGCGCCGCCAUUCGUCGCUUCGCCGUUUCCGUUGACCGGGUGCAUUUCCGGCUGAGCUCUCACACCCCCGAUGUCCACAAGAUUCCACGAGAACGAUGGCCGAAGGAAUCGAACUGGAAGCGCGUGGAUAGGGAGAUCCCCUCCUUCUUCCUCAAGUCCGGCCGCCGCCUCCAUCCUUGAUUUCGUCCUCUCCGCUCGUUGACCGUAGCACACCGUCGACAUCCACCCGGAGUUCUUCCUCACCGCCGAGCCGUUCCAACCGAAGCCGCUGCUAUCAAAGCCUCGCAGAUCCCUUCUUACAUCCUAGUGAGUAUAGAUGGCCAAACGGGCGGCACGGCCCGGCACGGCCCAGGCCUGGCCAUGCCUGUGCCGAAGUUAGUCUGGCCGGCACGGCCCGAUCUACACUCUGGGCCGUGUUGUGCCAGCCCACGGGCCGCACACAUGGCCCAGGCACGGCCCAACAUGACUCGGGCUAUGCUGGGCCGGCCCGAAGGCACAACGGUCCAUUGCGCUUUUUCACAGAAUAAGUCUAUUUUUGGUUCCUCAACUCUGUGGUCUGGAUAGAAAAUAAGUCUAUUUUGUAUUCCUCUUCUCUUUUGGGCCCUGUAUGACAUGGUUCAUUAAGUCUAUUUUGCGUUCCUCAA